rnacentral:sRNA from 1 species
GCUAGGUGUGGUGGUGCAUAUCUGUAAUCCAAACAACUUGGGAGGCUGAGGCAGGAGGACUGCAAGUUCAAAGCCAGCCUCAU